CGUAGAUUGGCAUAUAAAGUAGGAAGUUUCGUUUUGUUUGCUGCAUCAUAUCAAGACGCUUCACUUACGAAUGCAUCAGUUGGGUGCAACCAUUGUGAUUAUGAAUGGAUGAAUCAUCACAAGUUUUCAGAGCAUCCCUUAUUUUUCCAUGUUCAGACCACAUGUAUGAAACCCUUCAAAACACAGGCGAAGAUUGUGAUUCACUAAUAUUUGGCAUUCGUUAGACAGAUAAUGGUAAUUGUGAUAUGUUGUUCAUCAUUUUCACUGGCUAUCUAACGCUUCCGAGCUAAAUAUGUCACAGUGGGUUAUCAAUCAAUGUUUAUAUGAAUUUCCCCUGCUUUGAAAGGCUUCAACUGUAAUGUUAUCAAUGUUUAUGAUAGGCUUUGGGAACCAUGAAAUUGGUGGCAGAUAAAAGGCCAAAUGGUACCACUGGGGAGGUGUACGUAUCUUUGGGUGAUAAACCCUUGAAUGGUGGACAUCCAAAGAGGGCAAUACCAGGUUACGGGCACAACAACGGCACAACGUGGUAUUUCUCAAUAUGUGGAAUGUGUAUAGUUGAUGUUCAUUUAGAAGAUUGCUCAAAGUUUGUGGAUAGUUAUUGUGGCAAGGUAUUUUAUUUUAUUAUGUAAAUCUAUUGUAAUCUCUAUUUUUUUAUUAGUGAAUUUCGCUUUUGGUUCUGCCCGUGGAUGUAGGGAAUAUUCUCGAACCACGUAAAUUAUUGUGUUCACUUUCUCUAAUUUCAUUUUUGUGU